rnacentral:rRNA from 1 species
AACGAACGCUGGCGGCAUGCCUAACACAUGCCAGUCGAACGAGACCUUCGGGUCUAGUGGCGCACGGGUGCGUAACGCGUGGGAACCUGCCCUUAGGUUCGGAAUAACUCCCCGAAAGGGGUGCUAAUACCGGAUAAUGUCUUCGGACCAAAGAUUUAUCGCCUUUGGAUGGGCCCGCGUUGGAUUAGCUGGUUGGUAGGGUAAAAGCCUACCAAGGCGACGAUCCAUAGCUGGUCUGAGAGGAUGAUCAGCCACACUGGGACUGAGACACGGCCCAGACUCCUACGGGAGGCAGCAGUGGGGAAUAUUGGACCAUGGGCGAAAGCCUGAUCCAGCAAUGCCGCGUGAGUGAUGAAGGCCUUAGGGUUGUAAAGCUCUUUUACCCGGGAUGAUAAUGACAGUACCGGGAGAAUAAGCUCCGGCUAACUCCGUG